CACUCCUACGGGAGGCAGCAGUGGGGAAUUUUACGCAAUGGGGGAAACCCUGACGUAGCGACACCGCGUGAGCGAAGAAGCCCUUUGGGGUGUAAAGCUCUGUCAGCUGGAACGAAAACAAUGACGGUACCAGCAGAGGAAGCAUCGGCUAACUACGUGCCAGCAGCCGCGGUAAGACGUAGGAUGCGAGCGUUGUCCGGAUUUAUUGGGCGUAAAGAGUUCGUAGGUGGUUUGUUAAGUUUGGUGUUAAAGAUCGGGGCUCAACCCUGGGACUGCACUGAAUACUGGCAGACUCGAGUGUGGUAGAGGCUAGUGGAAUUCCCAGUGUAGCGGUGAAAUGCGUAGAUAUUGGGAAGAACACCGGUGGCGUAGGCGACUAGCUGGGCCAUAACUGACGCUGAGGAACGAAAGCCAGGGGAGCGAAUGGGAUUAGAAACCCUAGUAGUCCCAUG
rnacentral:rRNA from 1 species